rnacentral:rRNA from 1 species
CUACGGGCGGCAGCAGUGAGGAAUAUUGCACAAUGGGGGGAACCCUGAUGCAGCAACGCCGCGUGGAGGAUGACGCAUUUCGGUGUGUAAACUCCUUUUAUAUGUCAAGAAAAUGACGGUAGCAUAUGAGUAAGCACCGGCUAACUCCGUGCCAGCAGCCGCGGUAAUACGGAGGGUGCAAGCGUUACUCGGGAUCACUGGGCGUAAAGGACGCGUAGGCGGGUUGGAAAGUCAGGUGUGAAAUCCUACAGCUUAACUGUAGAACUGCACUUGAAACUUCUAAUCUAGAGUAUGGGAGGGGGGGAUGGAAUUAGUGGUGUAGGGGUAAAAUCCGUAGAUAUCACUAGGAAUACCUAAAGCGAAGGCGAUCUCCUGGAACAUUACUGACGCUAAGGCGUGAAAGCGUGGGGAGCAAACAGGAUUAGAUACCCGCGUAGUC